GAAAUGCGAUAAGUAGUGUGAAUUGCAGAAUUCAGUGAAUCAUCGAAUCUUUGAACGCACAUUGCGCCCCUCGGCAUUCCGUGGGGCAUGCCUGUUCGAGCGUCAUCUACACCCUCAAGCUCUGCUUGGUGUUGGGCGUCUGUCCCGCCUCCGCGCGCGGACUCGCCCCAAAUGCAUUGGCAGCGGUUCCUUGCCCCCCUCUUUGCGCAGCACAUUGCCAUUCGAGGCGGCGGCGGCCCGCGUCCAACAAGCUCAACCCCCCCGUCUUUGACCUCGGAUCAGGUAGGGAUACCCGCUGAACUUAAG
rnacentral:misc_RNA from 1 species